CUGUGGACUGUGAAGUACUGAAUUGUGUAGUUAAACCGUUAAACAGUUUUGCACCAGUGCUGUGUUCAGGAUUCUUUUGGGCGGGGCUAAAACGGUGGCUCGAUGACGCACUGGACCCACCGAGGCAGGCCCCUCCCGUAACAAUAUGACUAGAGCACAUUCGGUUCAGUUUGCCAUUCAAUCACGAGUUACAGUCAGACUCAGUACUAGUUUCAACAGCCUACAGUUAGCAAAGUCAUCGACUACCAUCGUUUAAAGUUUGGCGAUGUUGUGCGAAGCAUGGACAUCAAAAUGGACACUAUGCUGCAACAUUUUAGUGCCGGUGUGUCCGUUGGAGGGUUAUCCCUGCCAGGGGAUCUGUUACUCCCACUAGACACCCAGGACGAUUUAGCGUUGCUUGACAGCAGUCUGAGGCAGGAUAAAGAGCUCCAGCAACGAUUUCUUCGGUUUUUGGCAAUCAAGUGUGGGAGGGACCUCAAGACAACUGUGUGGCU